UGGGGAAGUGACAUCACCGACUCUACCCGGGGGGCCUCAGAGGAAGUGAUAUUUUGAUCCUCCAUCCCCAACCGACUUGUUCUCCAAGCUGGACUUGGGUGUUGAGAACCCCAGGUCUACAGAGGGUGUCUAGUGGCCAUGUGGAGGGACAAGCCUAAGGAAGAAAGGAGAUAGCAAGAGAAAAGAAGAGGCAGAUCCUGGCCCUCAGCAGAGCAGCAGGGGCAGAAGAUUGACUCUGCCCCUGGCCAGGAUUCACUUGUAUGGAAGUCAGGGGCUCUACGGGACCUGAAGGAGAUGGAGAGAAGGAGGUGGCUAUGGCACUCCUGAGUUCCUCUACGUCAUCCCAGCAGUCUUGACUUCCUCCCUGGUAGCCAUGUUGUGGCAAUCAAUUUCCCUGGAGUAGACCAUCUUGUGCACACUGGGACAGAGAGUAAGGCCUGGCUUCUCCGCGAAGGAUGCUGCCAUUGCCAACAUUUUCGACACCAGGGACAGCCGAAAGCAUCUCCAGAUAGCACCAGGUGUCCCCGACCCUCAGAAUCAGAGAGCCACUGAGCCUGAAACACCACCCCCCACCCCAGAAGAGGAUGGGCCACACGCCGAAGAGGUCCUUUCCCCCAAAACACAGCUGUCUGGAACUCACUGUGUAGAUGAAGUCAGCCUCCAACUCACAGAUUUCUACCUGCCUUGGUUUCUCCAGUGCUAAGAUUAAAGGCCUGCAGCACCACAC